CGACACACCAUCACAACCCUUGCCAUGACUUGUCUCUCUUACUGACUAUUCCGCUUUACUUCUGCCGCCACUGUUUUGUUCUGCUCAUCGCGCCUUGGCCAUCCGCCAUUCCUGAGACGGAGGCGCCAACGACCGUAUAUAUAUAUAUAUGUACGUGUGGGCGAAGUGUACGUGUACGUGUAUACGUACGAAGCACACCCCUUCUGUUCCUUUCCCUGCUUUCUUUUCUUCGUUCUCGGGGAGGUAGGCCUUCGGUCGCUCUUUGAUGCUCACGGACACCUGCAUCUCACCACCGAGCUGGGGCGGAACAUCUCCCGUGAGCCGUCAGCGGGAACCUGCAUCGCCACAUGUGCGCAUCGGUGUAUACGCACUGAGCUGCAAAGAGGCAACUCGCCUGUUCGCCCUCCCUCUUUACAUUUCGAGCCUUGCUCGUUCUGCCUGCCGGAUCAGACACUCUUUUUUGCGUCCGGUGCAGCCGCUGCCACUCCUCGGCGUGGCGAAGGAAUCCACAGGGCAAAAUGGAGACGAAAGCGGCUCAGCGUACCGCCUACAGCUUCUUCGAGAGCUACAGGUACCUAUGGAGUCCGCAACGUCCGCAGAGAACAACGGAGGAGAUGGAGCGACUGUGCGGCAGCAUUGAUGCUCCUGCCGCAAAGGUGCUAAGCACCAUAUCCUUUGAGGACCGCGUUGCUAUCCGGUCUCUCUUCUAUGUUGUUGUUGACGACACGAACCUGCGCAACCUUCUCGACGGUCUUCUUCUGCCGCCGCCAUACGCCUUCUCUGAUCUUCAUCAGAAGCGAUGGACGCAGGAGGACGUUCGGGCUUUGUGCGUGGUGCUGAAUCCCUCGCUGGACUGGGUCGUCGUGAAUCUGCCCUUCAACCUUGCACUGAGGCUCGGCUCCUAUGACGCACGACUUCGGGCAGCAGCGCGGCGGCUCUCCUGGAUUUUGUCAAUCCCAUUCUCCCUGGUAGAGCGCGAGGAGAACUCGCUCGCGCAGUUGCACAUGAUAGCAAGCCGCGACGCCGCUGCCGAGCAGGUCGAUGUGACACGGCAGGAGGGGGUAUUGAAGAGCAAAGAGGAACGAAAACGAAGUCUGACGCGUGCUGCGACUAUCGGCGGCUUUUCCGUCCUCGGUGGCGCGGCCCUUCUCGCGACGGGCGGGCUGGCCGCACCAGUUGUGGGGCCUGCGUACGCCGCACUCGUGACUGCCACGGCAACGACUCUGGGCGUGAUCGGGGCGGUGGGUGGUGCUGUGCUCGGCACCGGGGCCUUGGCAACCGUCUUUGCGACCAUCGUCGGCGCCGCUACCCACGCCGCCGCUCUCGCCUCCGUUGUUACACCGGCGUUGACCGCUGCCAACGUGACCGCCAUCUUCGGUGUGACAGGCGCCUCGCUAGGCGGCUACAAAGCGUUUCGGCGCACGACGGACUCCGAUAUCUUCAUGCUACGCUCCGUGGGCGAGGUCGAGGCGUUUGAAACGGCGGUGGCGACGACAGCGGAGGAAGAGGAGGCUGAUCUGAAUAAGGAGGUGGUUCACCGCCUUGCGUGCUCGCACCAGACGGUGGAGAAAGGCAGCGGUACUCCUGGCACGUCCUGGGACCUCUCCGUGGUACUCGAGGACGACUCGAAGCCUGGCGUCGUCGUCCCGUUGCACACGAGGAUGAUCGCCAUGUCGCACGUCGGAAAUCUGUCUCCGCUCCACAAGCGUCGCCGCCGCGUCGUCUUUGCUGUGGAGAACAACCUUGACGGCUGCCAGCUGCGCCUCAAAGCUAUCAAGCUGAUCUCCGGCGUGUGGGCAAUGGCGCCGCCGGCGGUCAUUGCGCCGGGACGCGCGGGUGUGCUCGCAUGCAUGAAUCGGUUUGCGCAUCCCACCGGCGCCGGCUUCAUCAUCUGCUACGUGGCCACGCCUUCUCCUGGCACCGCCAUAUCGACGUCGCUACGGAUCUGGGUGCGUGCGGAGCGCGACUUCUUCGGCGCCUGGGUACUUUCCGCGGCGUGCGAGAAGGCCGAUCUGGAGUUCGACCCGACGGUGGCCGAGAACUGGAUGGAGGGGCACCUGGCCAGCUCCGACUUUACGCGGCGGCAGUGGGGAGUGGCGCUUGAGAUGCACGUGGAGCCGUACACGUACCUGAAGCUGUACCCAGCGAGCGACGGAGAGGCGCCGCAGGCGCGCAAGGUGACGUUUCCGAAGGAGGAGUUGCCUCAGCGGCAGCUGGAGUACGGACAGGAGGUGAAACAGCGGCGGAAGCUGGGCGUUUCGCUCGUGAAUCGCUCCUCGCACGACGUCUUUACGCGCGACAUGGGCAUGGUAAACGGCGAGCAGUGGCCCGAGACGCCCUCGCCGAUUGGCGUGUACCCUGCUGAGGCGUCGCUGACGUACUUCACCAAUAGCGAGUGGAGCCUUGCAGGGGCGGAGGGGUACUACAUUGUGGAGGUGGUGAACCGAAGCAGCAAGCCCGUCACGCCGCGCUUCUACGUUCGAGCGCAGUUCGCGGUCAGCUCUCUCAACAACGUAAAUGUGGCCUUUGCCUCCGCCUACAACCUUUCGGAGCUGACGUGCCAGUCCUUGACUCCCGCCGCGCCGAGCAGGGCACAGUUUUCGGUGGAUCUGCCGCCGGGGCUUUUCUUCUCUCUCACUUGCGUCGUCGACAUGGCGCACUAUGCGGUACAGCUUGUGUUCCAGGACUUUGUAGAGCGGCUCGGUAGUGCAGGCGCGCUGGCCACGGAGAAGAUGACGCUCGCCAUCGGGGUGAGUGGCUACUCGGCUAUCUUCGACCCACGUCGACCGGUGCGAGAUCAGCAGGUGGGUCUGUGGCAGUCGGUGCUGCGCCGCAGCGAGCUGCUCGGGUCAACAGAGUCGUACGUGCUGCAAUGGGAGGACGAUUUCCUCAUGAAGUUUGGGGAGACGAUCCAUGUGAACCUCGAAAUUGCUGACACGUUGAUGAUGAAGGCUGUGGGCACCGCGACCGAGAAAAUGCUCAUGCAAGGCGCCAUCUUUACGGGUUUCCAUGCCUUGUCGUCUCUUGUGGGCGCCUUUAAGCUGCCACUCUUUGCUGUGUGGGCAACUGGCGUGAUCGACAACACCUUUGCGACGCUGUCGAACCGUUCUGCCUACACCGGCAAGGACUUGGCAGUCGCGUUGCUUGACAAGCAGCGCGGCAACCGCCCGGUGACGUUGGUCGGCUUCAGCUUCGGUUCUCUCGUGAUUGUAGAGUGCCUGCGAGAGCUGGAGAGGGUGGGGGCCUACGGUGUAGUGGAAAACGUCUACCUGCUGGGCUGUACGUGCAGCUCCGACCCUGGGCUGUGGCAUUGCCUGCGCCGAGUCGUCGCGGGACGCCUCGUCAAUGUCUACACACGCGAGGACUGGACGCUGUGGAUGAUGUACCGGCUGAAUAAGACAGACCUGAAACCGAUGGCCGGCAUCAACCCCGUCAACGUACCCGGCGUCGAGAACGUGGAUGUGACGCCUCUAGUUGCAGCGCACGGGGACUUCGCGGUGAAGCUGCUGCCGGUGCUGAGUGCCAUUCCGCCCGAACCCACGGCGACAACAUGGAGCCCGCGACAGCACCACGGGUCGCCGGGCGUGACGGUGCCCGUGACGAAGUGCCGCGAGACUGUGGCGGCGGUUUGCAAGUCACUGCACUCGUACAUGACAGCCACAACCUACGUCGCCAUGGGGGUGAAAAACUGUGUUGUCUCUGACAUUCCGCACUAUCAGCCGCAGGUGGAGCUGCUCACGGUGCAGGUCUACGGCUGCUUCUUCGACUUUAUGCCACCGCCGCUGACGGACACCGGAAUGGCCUCCGUGGCGGGUUUACUAGGGGACACCGAAAAGCCGAUGGGUGUCUUCGUUGCGUACCGGAUGCGACUACCCCCGUCGUCGCCGCGAGACCUGCUGGUCGCACUGUACCUCUGCAGUAGCGCCAAGGGGAAUUUGAAGGUGUGCGCGCAGCCGAACCUGGUGGAGCGGUGGUCUUGCGAUACAGAGACGCAGGAGCAGGCGUACCAGCGGCUCUGCGCCAUCACAUCGGAGACGUGCCAAACGCUCGACGAUGUCGAGCGAAUGUGCUGUACCCACGGCGCCGAGUGGGAGCUGAGCGGCCGCGCAGCACACACAGAGUCGAUUCUGGUGCCCGUUCCGAACACGUUCGACGAUGCCCACGAAACAGCGAUCGUUCGUCUCGUACUGGAGCGGCUGGACAACGCCGGCGUUACGGCGACGUGGCUCGCGCUGCUGACCAGAGCAAGCACCCAGCUGCAGCAAGAGACAUUCGAUGAAGCACAGUUCAAGACUGCCAUGUCCGCCAUCGGCACUCGCCACCCGCACCACCAGGGCGGCGGCAACGGGAUGCCGUUGCCGGUGGUGGCAGAGACGUGUAGCACGGACAACCUGCAACAGCGACUGCACUCCCUCGCGUCGCAGCUGCAGGAUCCUGCCAAGUACCCAUCCAACACGGCACCAUUUGUCCUCGUCAACUGCGGAAUGUCGCCGCUUUACUUUUCGGAGGCCUUCCAUAACUCCACCAAAGUCGUCGCUGUGCCGGAAGUGCCGUCCUGCAUAUGGAUGCUGCCGCAGUGGCUGCGGUUCCCGCCGCCGGAGAUUCCGCCCAGAUCGUUCGCUGUUGCGAUGCUGACGGUGCACGACGCUGAGCCUGGAACGCACCCGGCGGCGCCGCCGGUGCGGUACGAGACAAACAACGGCCAAUGCGCCUUUGACGUAGAGUUUUCUGACAAGAUAUUCACCAACGGCGGCGCCCAAGGAGACGCCUACCUGACAGCUGCUGUGCAUUGUAAGCCCGUGGAAGGAAGACCUUACCUUGGGGAGGUCACUCUUUCCAGCACGACAAUCCAAACAACGUCGUUUCUCAUCAUCAUGAUGGUGCCUCGCACUGCCACAGAGGCCGCCGUGGACGUAGAGGACGCUCAAGACACAGUCGAAUCUCGCCUGCGCGCGCACGGCUGGUAUGUCAUGUAGACAGCUGUACGGGGCAUUUUCUUUAUUGCCAAACGUGGCACACCGCGCUGUGGUGCUGCUUGAAUGGUGAGCUUCUCACUGUGGAGGUGUGACUGCGAGACUGCAUGACGGAG
rnacentral:misc_RNA from 1 species